UGCACCACCACUGCCUGCCAUAGUCCAGUCAUUAUUUAUCGUCUGCUUCUCCUUUGCAGGAGAGGCCGGUGAGAGCAAGGUCUGCCUGGGUCUGCUGUGGUGCUGGUGCCCAUCAGAAUCAAUGCCUGGGGAUGAAUCGGUGAAGGGGAAUGAAUUUGUUGGAUGAAUCAGUGAAGGGGAAUCCUGUGGCCGACUCACCAAGAGGAUCUCCACAAAGUGGAGAAGCCUCUAGAGAAGGCUGAGCCAGGCAUUUGGCAGGCAGACGUCCCUCACACAGGAUCAAGGGACCACAAGCCAGACAUGGCCUCUGUCCUGAGGGGAGAGGGAUGAUGGGCCGUCAACUACCGUGCGCUGCAAUAGGGCUGGGGGCCCAGGAGGGGGCACUCCACCCAAAUGAGGCGGUUGGGAAGGCUUUGUGGGGAGCAACAUUUUUCCUCCAUUAUCUGCAUUCUAGAAAAAAGGCACCAUUUGCACGGAGCUCUGAGGUGGCAAAGAGAGGACCCUGGAGAAUGAGAAGCGCAGGUGACUCUGCCUGGCAGGGGGCAGGGGCUGAGGUGCAGUCAGAGAGUCAAUGGGCCAAGCAGGUGUGACACUACCAGGUCCCGGGGAGCUUCCCGGCCACUUCUCUGGUGCCUGGCGAUGAGACUGGGCCUGCCAGGGGCAAGGAGACCUCGGGGUUGGCUCCAACUCAGAGCAGAGGAAGGACAGAGGCAGUGCACCACCAUCUUCUUCGCCCCCAUCCACACCUUCCAACAGUUGCCAACAGCAGCCUGGGAGUCUGUAGAGGUAAUCCAGAGCCACGUUAAGCAUAUGGCAAGCCGUGCACUGGCUGUGUCGCCUCCUUCAAGCUCAGUGCCUGCCUCCUGUUUUCUGGUAUCUGGGAAGACACAAAUGCUGCUUAGAGUCAAACCUCAGGAGAUGUGUGAAGCAUGUAAAAGUCAAAGAUAAACAGGCCUGCUUUGCCCUUGGACACAUAAGCUGGAUUUUCUGCAGUAAUCCAGGGCCUUCACCAAAAAAGCCAAGAGCAAGAAAACCUUCCAGCACAAUCCAUAACAACACCCCCCCUCCCGGCCCCAAAACAGCGAGUCUGGCAGUCGAGGCAACUGACAGCCACAACUCGGGCAGAGUUUCAGCAAGUGCUCCCUCCUCCCAGACGCUGCCAGCACAGCUCGGUUUUGAUCCACAAACAUUCCAAGUUUUGACUCCAGCUCCAUAUAGCUCUGCUAAUACCCAUCAGCCCGCAGACAAAAUCUUUUAUUUCCUAGUAAGCCUGGAAUAAAAAAGAUGAAUUCGCAGGGGAUUUAGGAGGCAA
rnacentral:lncRNA from 1 species